CUCGCCCUGCGCGGGGGGCAGCUGCUGAGCGUGGCCGCCCGCGAGCUCCCGUUCCCGCAGGCGCGGCGCUGCGCGCCCGCGCGGUAACAGCGCGACAGGAUCUCCGCCACCAGAACAGAUAAAAUACAUGCUACAGCAACACAAGUUGUCCGUUACUGCAACAGGAGUAAGCAGGCAAAAUCUCCAUACCUCAGUAUGCCAGAUCAUGCUACAGCAGCUAAUUUCUUACCUCUACUGGCUGCUUCAUGAGUUGGUGAAGGAAGACAGGUCUCCCACUGAGCUUUGGCACCAUACUCUAACAAGAGCUCAGCACAUGAUGCACUGCCUCUUGAACAUGCAUUAAAUAAAGGUGUCACUCCGUCAA